UAUGAUGUUUGUUUCUCUAUUGAUUCCUCCUGCCAACUAGACCAUUUAGUUUGUUUUCUUCCAUGUCGGUUAUUUUGUGCCUCAAUUAUUGAAGAGAUUCCUUGAAUUCUGCGUUUGCAGUGCUGAUGGUCUUGCCACAUUAUCUUCUCAUCACUUUCUUGGGCCAGUUUCAUUUAUCCUUGCUCCCUUGCUCUGUUGUUGUUGUAUCAGUGCGUUGCUACAGUCUAGAGCUAUUCAGAGCGUCUUUGUAUCCCUUUUUUAAUUUGCUAAAUUCAGUAAUUAUUGAUCAUAUUUAUUUGUCCAAGCUAAAGAUGCUAUCAGAAUCAUUGGAGUGGGCUCUUGGAAAUCGAUGCUAUUUUUUCAUACCCAAAAAGUUUUUAGUGUGUUGUUGGAAAGUAAUUGAUUACUCUCGCAUGAGAAAUGAUUUGUUUGAAUAAACAUAUGAGCUUACCUGACAGCAGCAAGUAUUUUUUUUAUAUGAAUACUUCUCAUGUUAUAUAAUCCAAGCAUAAAAAAAUAGGGAAAACUUCACCAUUGUUCUUCAAUUAUAUAUCAACAUGUUGUGUUAUAUAGAAGAUUAUUCUUCUUUAGCUUGCAUUUGGACCGGGAGUGCAAUACAUGUAGAUUCCAAAGACGGUCACCAAGUUAUCGACUUAUUGUAGGCAACUGACCUUUGUUUAGGGGUAUAUACUCUGUGAUAUUCUUGAUUGGCUACUCAAAGUUCCUUGGCCAAUUCAGUGGGCAAUGUAUCAAUAUUUACACAGGAUUGUGCUGAUCUAGCACCAUCUACAGAUAUCUCUAAUUUGUAUAUAUUUUUGUUCCACUAUUUCAGGUUUUUACAUUUUACGAUCUAAUUGAUCAGUCCAUCAAAGGCAUCCAGGUUCAGACAUGGUUACCAUGACUACAAGCUGCUAAGAGCAACAGCCGUGUGGAGCAGUGGAGGUUCUGUGAGUUGUGAUAAUAAAUGGGUUAACAAAGUUGUGGUCAGCAUUGGGUUCAUCACCUGUAUGUGCUAGAGAAGAAAAGAUUUCUACUUUGGGGCUAGGUUUGGGCAAUUGAUUCUGGCUCAUGAUUCUUUCAUAUUCCAAUUGUUCUUUGGCACUUUUAGAGAAGGGAUAACAGAGUUUAAGAGUCAGUACUAUUGGCUGAUUGAUAUACAGUGAUAUGCUUUGCUUCAUCAGCUGUGUCGUAUAGGAAAAACAUAUAUCUUCAACCGUAUGAAUAGUGGAGAGUA